GGCGGGCGCGCAGGACCAGGCGGGGGAUGCUGCCCUGGCGGAGGCGGGGCGGGGGCCUCCACGUGGGUGGGGCUGGGCGCCCCCGAGGGCCGUGGCCGCGGGGCGCUGGUAGCUCGCCCGCCCCUCCGCCGGGUACCCCUCCCGCCCGGGGCUUCUGCCUGGACCGCGGCUGCAGCCGCCUCUUCCCGGAGGCCUCAGAGUUCGUCCCGGUCUCGCCGUUGGGAACGUGGACACGCAGGAGCCUGGAUGCAGAAGGGCGCGCGGGAGCCUGGAGCUGCAGCGCGAACCGCAGCCCUGCGUCCAGGCCGCACCACUCUCUCCUGAUCCCGAGGAAGGGCCACGGGGAACCCUGCGCGCGGGCGGCGGCCUGAGAGCUGGCGCGGGCCUUGGCGCUAGAAAAUGGAUCCUGCUCCCGGAGAGGCGGGCCAGUGCCCCGCUCCUGCUUCCCGGAGAAUUAGCUCGGCGGUGUGCGUGGCCGGGGAGGGAGGGAAAGGCCUUGGGGCGACUAGCCGGGCGGGGAGUGGCUUCUGGGGGGCUCCCUCGCCCACGGAGGGCCCGCGAGACUGCCCUCGGAGCGCCGCCAGCCGCAGCUGAGUCAGAAGUGCCCCCACUGUCUUACCUGAUAAUGGGAUUUUACGCGGUCUGCUAAGGGUGGCUUCGUGAGACGACCAUUUCAGAAGAGGAAAGGGGCCUCUGGCCGGUGGGGUAAAAACCCCCAUGGAAUGAAAAGCACUCCCAGCCGCUUUGCGCAAGAUUGCAAAGUAAGGUGGGUUUUGUUUUUUGUUGUGUGUUGGUUUGUUCCAUCCCCUCCUCCCUGUAAAUUAGAACAAAAGGCCCCCAAGCGAGCAGGACCUGGCGGACGUUUGGAAGCCGCGAGUGGAAUGAAUCUCGUUAUAAAAACUCCGGGACCCCAGGCACAGCUACUGUCUGUCUGCAUCGCAGUUUGGGUGGAGGAAGAACGUGACUCCCCUGCCCAGAGGCGGGUUGGGCACCGAUUUCGCCGUGGAGAGGAGGGUCCCGGUGUUGGGGAAGGCCCCUCUUUCUGGGACCGCGGGAGCCCUAACUGGCCCCCCUCCGGAGGGAGACCCGGGCGUCCGGCUGCCGCGCGGCGCUCGGCCGGUAGUCCCGCUUCCACCAAAACGCGGGGCUUCGUUUCUCUCAAAAUAAAACUCAACAAGCCAUAAAGCCUCCCGACGCCGAUGGAGAAGGCGCCGCGGAUUUAUGGCUCCCCUGAAUUCCCCACUCUCUAAUUAUCCCUGUUUUUAGUUGACUUAUGGGUAGUGACCAAUAAAAUCAUUUUCUACUUCGGA